rnacentral:rRNA from 1 species
UACGGGGGGGGCAAGCGUUGUUCGGAAUUACUGGGCGUAAAGGGUCUGUAGGUGGCCAACUAAGUCAUACGUGAAAUCCCUCAGCUUAACUGGGGAACUGCGUCUGAUACUGGUUGGCUUGAGUGCAGGAGAGGAACGCGGAAUUCCAGGUGUAGCGGUGAAAUGCGUAGAUAUCUGGAGGAACACCGGUGGCGAAGGCGGCGUUCUGGGCCUGACCUGACGCUGAGGAGCGAAAGCGUGGGGAGCGAACAGG